rnacentral:rRNA from 1 species
UACGGGGGGGGCAAGCGUUGUUCGGAAUUACUGGGCGUAAAGGGCGCGUAGGCGGCCUUCUAAGUCAGACGUGAAAUCCCUCGGCUCAACCGAGGAACUGCGUCUGAUACUGGAAGGCUUGAAUCCGGGAGAGGGAUGUGGAAUUCCAGGUGUAGCGGUGAAAUGCGUAGAUAUCUGGAGGAACACCGGUGGCGAAGGCGGCGUCCUGGACCAACACUGACACUGAUGAGCGAAAAGCCAGGGGAGCAAACGGGG